rnacentral:rRNA from 1 species
GAUGAACGCUGGCGGCGUGCCUAAUACAUGCAAGUCGAGCGAACGGACGAGAAGCUUGCUUCUCUGAUGUUAGCGGCGGACGGGUGAGUAACACGUGGAUAACCUACCUAUAAGACUGGGAUAACUUCGGGAAACCGGAGCUAAUACCGGAUAAUAUUUUGAACCGCAUGGUUCAAAAGUGAAAGACGGUCUUGCUGUCACUUAUAGAUGGAUCCGCGCUGCAUUAGCUAGUUGGUAAGGUAACGGCUUACCAAGGCAACGAUGCAUAGCCGACCUGAGAGGGUGAGCGGCCACACUGGAACUGAGACACGGUCCAGACUCCUACGGGAGGCAGCAGUAGGGAAUCUUCCGCGAUGGGCGAAAGCCUGACGGAGCAACGCCGCGUGAGUGAUGAAGGUCUUCGGAUCGUAAAACUCUGUUAUUAGGGAAGAACAUAUGUGUAAGUAACUGUGCACAUCUUGACGGUACCUAAUCAGAAAGCCACGGCUAACUACGUG